UACGAAGGGGGCUAGCGUUGCUCGGAAUGACUGGGCGUAAAGGGCGCGUAGGCGGAUGGCACAGUCAGAUGUGAAAUUCCCGGGCUUAACCUGGGGGCUGCAUUUGAUACGUGUUGUCUUGAGUUCGGAAGAGGGUCGUGGAAUUCCCAGUGUAGAGGUGAAAUUCGUAGAUAUUAGGAAGAACACCAGUGGCGAAGGCGGCUCACUGGUCCGGUACUGACGCUGAGGUGCGAAAGCGUGGGGAGCAAACAGG
rnacentral:rRNA from 1 species